UUAAGCAGAGCUCUACAGAGGGCUGAGGGUGUUGCUCAUGGUAUACUGAAAUGGACAAGGCCCUAAGGACCCUCACUGGAAACAGCCUCUAUAGAAUGACUUUCCCUGUGCAGUUCAGAGAACAGGGAUGAUAAGUGGGGUGAUCUUAAUUCUGAUACAAUUCUCUAAACUGGGUGUACCUAGACUUAGAUACUCUCUAAGUCAGGACAUAAGGAAGGGCCUCCUACCAGCCCUUAGAAAAGAGGAGAGGGACUUGAAAUAUUUUUAAUGUAUUCAUAAAAUCUAGGAGCUGCAGUAAGCAACCCUCAUGGCCAUUCAUCCUUCAGCCAGGAGAUAAAAGAAGUAGAGAAAAAAUAAAGAGGGGCUGGGGAAAUAGCUCAGCAGCUCCUGUGCCUGUCUGGCAAGCCUAAGAUCCUGAGUUCCAUUUCCAGUACCCAAGAAGAUAGAAAAGAGAAAGAAUAGGGUUACUGACGAAGCCUGUCAGCAAAGUCCACGCGGCAGAGUAAUUUACCACCACCCCGAAAAUACACUUGGCCAAAGUACUUUAGGUUAGUGUUCAAUAGGGGGGAAAAUAAAAGAGCAGCAAUUGCAGACGUCUUCCCUAUUCUUGAUGGGUGGAGAAUACAGACCCAGAGUAUCCUAAGCCACAUUUCUGUUGGCUCUUAGCUCAAAAAACCACCAAGCUUCUGUUAGCACUUACUCAGCCAGUAGUUGUAAGGACCCAGAGUAACACUGCAAGGAAAAUAUUUCAUUAUGAAAAGAUUUUUUUAAAAAUCGAGAG